AUUUAGAUUAUUUUCAUUGUAAAGAUUUGCAUCACUUUUACAAUGCAACUUUUAUAAUGCAAUUUUACAACCUUGAAGAUGUUAUGUUGAAAACAUCUUAUGAAUCAUCAGUCCUACGCAGCUGAUGGAUGAUAAUAGUCAUGGCGUGGCACCCCGAGUGGAUGAAAUCAUGGCAUCCCUUCGUGGUAGGUGUUCAGAUUGGGAUUGAAGGGGUUGACAUUUCAAAACACUGUUCAUUAAACUAAGAUUCAUGGUGUUUCCGUAUAAGGCAUGAUUGCACUGUACUGAACCUAAGUAUCAUUAUCCAUCUACUACUGGCCAGCUUUUAUAUUUAAUCCAUUUGUUCUGUUUUUCAAAUUAUCAUCACAUUCACCUAGACCUCCCGGAAAUGAUUAAAUUAAUGAAGGAGUGUGUGGAGUGUGUCAAGGCAUUAAUGCCCUUGGCCGGGGGCACCCCUUCAUCUGCGAUGUCAUCGUCAUCUCUUUCUGUGGAAAGUGACAUUGAAAUGCACCACUUGGCUGGCAGCACAGUGACAGUUUCAAAGAGGGCCUUCCU